CGGCACUUCUUGAUUGCCCAGUAGAUCGCCAAAGCUUCCAGCUCUAAAAUAGCGUAUCUACUCUCUGCAUCUUUCAAGAACCGGGAUCCGCAUUGAAUAAGUCGCCACUCACCCUCAUGGAGCUGCAUAAGCGCAAAACCCAGACCUUUCAAUUUCGAUGCGUCUGUCUGAAGGAUGGUUUCGGCCCCAAGUUGGAACAUUCCCAAAAUAGGAGGAGAGCAAAUCUCUGAGGGGCUCAGCAUUGUGAGCGAUCUCGCUCGAAAAUUGACCCAACUGGUUAACAAGACCCAUGAACGAUCUCAGGUCUUGGCGAUCCUCUGGGCAGGGGAAUCUCGAGAUGGCUGCAACUUUCUCGGGAUCGGCCUUAAUACUAUCGCGAGAUAUACGAUAUCCGACAAAAUCGAUCUCUUCGGCCCCGCCAAUAACGCUCUUCUUGGCAUUGACAGUCAUGCCGAAACGGACACAACGUUCCAGAAUCUCACAGGUGAUCACCAUAGGAUCACCCACGAUUGGACCGCGCAUGGGUUUCAAACUUGAAUCGUCAAAUGCCGUACUGUAAAUGGACUUAAGUUUGGAUUCAACGUUCAUGAAGUCUUCCCUAGAAGGCAAAGAAGAAAUCAUUGGUUGUGGAAAAUUGGGUCCAACAAUACCCAGGGCUCGACAAGCAUCUAAACUCAGAUACGAGUCGUCAACAUCAUAGCUGACGACUAUUGUUACGUCAUGGGCCUUAUGAUCCUCAUCUAGAGACAAAUUAGCUCGGAACGAACCUACCAAGCUAAGAGAUCGACCAUCAACACCAGAAAUGACGGAGUUUGACGAACGUUGAUCUAGAGUGCGCAGAAUUGAAGGCUGACCGACUUGGACAAUUUGUGGGGACUCUUUUGACGGCAGACGGGUUGCCAAUGCCCAGUACUACCACACGCAUGGCAAGACGAUUUCAAUGCCGGACAAUCCUCACGAGAAUGGGUCUUGGAAAGACCACACAGCGGGCACUGCUCGGAUGACUUGGUCACAUGGACAACUUGAUCAAGAACUCCCACGGUUAAAGAUGAAGACUGGUGACUGAAAUCGCGUGCACCCCGUCUAGCAGUCUCAAGUUCAAGUAUACACUUGCGGGCUUCAUUGAAUGUUGAGGGAUUGCGUUCCAUAACCUUGGCCUUAUCGGAGUCAUUCUUCAUCCCCUGUAACAAGAGUGCAAUGAGAAGACGAUCCUCGGUGAUCUUGGCUGCAUCAGCAUAAUCUGCCAACUCUCGAAGGGAGUUACAGAAAGAUAUAAUCCUGACCCUCCUUCUGUCUCACAGCCAAAAGGUCUCGCAUAUCGAGGUGAAUAUUUCGGAGACUGCAAAGGUGCUCCUCAAUUAGGUCCAAAAUCUCGACCACCGUACGACCGGUAUUGGUUUUGAUCCCAAGUGAAUGUUGGAUGAUUCUUAAAAAUCCCGAAGAACAACAUUCCCAGAAGAGUCCAACCUGGUAACGGAGGUUUCUUCGCAUCUAAUCGAGGAAGAGAUAAGGUCUGCCCAGACUCACGAGAGGGAUGAGGUCGAUGCUCACCCGCUGCUCGGAGCAGUGAAGCUUCGACAUCACGUUGAAAACCGAUCAAUUUGGAUUGGGCUUUGAAAAGAGCCUCGAGGUGUUCCUCUACAGCUGUAUCUGCAUCUUUGGAAUCAGAUGAUAUAUGUCAUACGACCUGAUCUUCGGCUUAUUCGGCCAGAUUCCUAGCCCGUGAAAGAGCUGCCUUGAAGCCUUUACGACUGGCUUUCAAGACCUGGACGGCCUCACGAUCGGACAUGCUGAGGAUUCGAGACGGGAACCACUGGAAAUCCACAAAUCAACACCACGAUGGCACGGGAUGGAUUGGAUCCAAGGAUGAUCACGUACAAAUAACCGACCACACAACCCGAAGUCUCAGAUCAGGGAUAGCCGUAGACGGAACGUACAUUUAAGAGUUCGUACAGACCGACUGCGCCAUCGCAUGAUCGUAUUGAGUGGACAAAAGCGGAGGACACAUAGAUCGAGUAAAGGUUCAGAUGGAAGUGUAUUUUUCGUUUAGACAUGCUCAGAAGUAAACGUCAAUCAUAACUCGCAUGACAACAUCACAACAUACCACAGAGGAUACCCCGCGUCGUGUUGCAACCAGGUAACCUAAGCAGCGGCAGGUUACACUUGCCGUUGACGAUAGCAAGGGCAGCUCAAAUUUAUUUUUGAAAUUUACAAACCGUUGCCACUCCCCUUCGUACUGAUUUCCAAUGGACUCUGUAGUGGAAGCACGAUCCAAGGUAGCACAAACGAUGUCGUCGCCAAGUAAAGACACACUCUUGAAUGAAUGUGAAAUCCUCCGAUGGGCAACAAGAGGAAGGGGUAUUUUCUUGAAGCUUGAAUCCUCGACAAGGAGGACUUUCACUCUCUGCCCAACGUUCCACUGCCGCUGUGCAACAUCCUUCGUCCAAAGCCACUGAUGAAGGUUGCGGACAAUAGUCUACAAAGCACCAAAGAACAUAUAAAACAGGUCAAUUUUGACCUUAAUGACUGCUUGCAAAAACUCACGUGGAUUGGGAAAAGAUAUGCAAAAGUCUUUAGUGUUUGGACAGUCAAUCCAGUUGUUGUUCACACAUUUUGAUGGAUUAUCUUCGUAUUGCAAGGAUUGUGAUCGAUUGGUCACAGAAAAUGUGCGGCAGCAUUUUCGCCCGUAGUCAAAUGCCCAUGGAAAUUCAGGUGCACAAAAAUCAGCCACUGCAAUAGGAAAAUAGAUUUUGAUUCAAUUCACGUCAUUUUAUUUCCUUCAAGUCUAAAAUAAAAAAAUGUUUUGAAAAAGUGA